UCAGCAGUCGAGCGCACCUUCGGGUGAGCGGCGGACGGGUGAGUAUCGCGUGGGAACGUGCCCUUCUCUACGGAAUAGUCCUGGGAAACUGGGGGUAAUACCGUAUACGCCCUUUGGGGGAAAGAUUUAUCGGAGAAGGAUCGGCCCGCGUUGGAUUAGGUAGUUGGUGGGGUAAUGGCUCACCAAGCCGACGAUCCAUAGCUGGUUUGAGAGGAUGAUCAGCCACACUGGGACUGAGACACGGCCCAGACUCCUACGGGAGGCAGCAGUGGGGAAUCUUAGACAAUGGGGGCAACCCUGAUCUAGCCAUGCCGCGUGAGUGAUGAAGGCCUUAGGGGUUGUAAAGCUCUUUCAGCCGUGAAGAUAAUGACGGUAGCAGCAGAAAGAAAGUCCGGGCUAACUUCGGUGCCAGCAGCCGCGGUAAU
rnacentral:rRNA from 1 species